rnacentral:tRNA from 1 species
ACACUGGUGAUUCAGUGGUAAAAUUCUCACCUUCCAUGCAGGAAAGCCAGGUUCAAUUCUUGGUCAGUGCA